UACGUAAGGACCGAGCGUUGUCCGGAAUCAUUGGGCGUAAAGGGUACGUAGGCAGCUAGAAAAGUUAGAAGUCAAAGGCUAUAGCUCAACUAUAGUAAGCUUCUAAAACUAUUUAGCUUGAGAAAUGGAAGGGAAAGUGGAAUUCCUAGUGUAGCGGUGGAAUGCGCAGAUAUUAGGAAGAAUACCGGUGGCGAAGGCGACUUUCUGGCCAUUAUCUGACGCUGAGGUACGAAAGCGUGGGUAGCAAACAGGAUUAGAAACCCUAGUAGUCC
rnacentral:rRNA from 1 species